CAAGGUCUCGCCGAACUGCUCAGUAACACGUAGUCAACCUACUCUUAGAUGGAGGAUAAUCCCGCGAAAGUGGGGCUAAUACUCCAUAGUUGCCAGAUGCUGGAAUGCACUGGCAAUGAAAGCUCCGGCGUCUAAGAAUGGGACUGCGGCCUAUCAGGUUGUAGUGAGUGUAAAGUACUCACUAGCCUAUAACGGGUAGGGGACAUGAGAGUGUGAGCCUCGAGAUGCCUUCUGAGACAUGAAGGCAGGUCCUACGGGACGCAGCAGGCGCGAAAACUUUCCAAUUCGUUAGCGCGUGAGAAGGGAACCCUGAGUGGUUAUGCAAUGCAUAAUCUUUUCUUCAGUCCAAAUAACUGGAGGAAUAAGUGGUGGGUAAGACAGGUGCCAGCCGCCGCGGUAAUACCUGCGCCACAAAUGGUGAUCACGAUUAUUGGGUCUAAAGCGUCCGUAGCCGGUUUUAAAAGUUUCUGGUGAAAUCUGGCAGUUGACUGUCAGUCGUGCUGGAAAUACUGUAAGACUUGGGAUCGGGAAAGGACUGAGGUAUUCCAUGGGUAGGAGUUAAAUCCUUUAAUCCAUGGAGGACCACCGGUGGCGAAAGCGUCAGUCUGGAACGAGUCCGACGGUGAGGGACGAAAGCGUGGGGAGCAAAACGGAUUAGAUACCCGUGUAGUCCACGCUGUAAACUAUGCCCGUUUGGUGUCGCAAACCUUAAGUGGGUUUGCGGUGCCGGAGCGUAGGUGUUAAACGGGCCACCUGGGGAGUACGGCCGCAAGGCU
rnacentral:rRNA from 1 species